rnacentral:lncRNA from 1 species
UGCACGGGUGAUAUAGAUCUCUUUAUAGAUCUCCCCAAGCAGAUGUCGGGUGUUUAAAAUCUCUCCAUAUAGAGUCAGCCCCAUAAGCAGAAAAUGUUGCCUUUCCUUCUGCAGUUCCCCACUGAGAUAUAUCCUCGUGGAUGACGGUUUCUUCUGUUUCCUCCCAACACAUAUAUUGGGAUGGAUGUUCCUAUUUGAGUUACAUCCUCAUUAGGACGUGUCUUGAUUCAGUCUGUCUUUUCGGAUUAUUCCCGAAU